rnacentral:lncRNA from 10 species
CAAGGUGACUCUCUUUUCCUGGGCCCUCUUCUUAGGGGCAUUUGUGACAUAUUGCUAUACCCAGAACCUAGGUAAUGUGACUCUUUUUUACUGCUUGGGCUUUGCCCAAGAAGUGCUUGAGAUGUAUUGCUGGGCCUAGCACCUAAGUAAUGGUGACUCUCCUCUCCUUCCAAAAUACUGCAGACAUUGUGAUAUAUUGCUGAGUCCAACACCUAGAAGGUGCAACUUUUCUGCAGAAGCACUGCCCAAAGGAGAAUAAUGACAUAUCUUUUCAUUCAUCAUCUAGAUGAUGUGACUCUUCUCUUCUGUCUGGUACCUUCAUGAUGGGACUCUAGUCCACUG